rnacentral:tRNA from 1 species
GCGUCUCCCUUACACCGAGAAGUCCCCCGUGCAACACGGGGCGCCCCGA